GUGAACGCUGGCGGUAGGCCUAACACAUGCAAGUCGCACGGCAGCACAGUAAGAGCUUGCUCUUACGGGUGGCGAGUGGCGGACGGGUGAGGAAUACAUCGGAAUCUACUUUUUCGUGGGGGAUAUCGUAGGGAAACUUACGCUAAUACCGCAUACGACCUACGGGUGAAAGCAGGGGAUCUUCGGACCUUGCGCGAUUGAAUGAGCCGAUGUCGGAUUAGCUAGUUGGCGGGGUAAAGGCCCACCAAGGCGACGAUCCGUAGCUGGUCUGAGAGGAUGAUCAGCCACACUGGAACUGAGACACGGUCCAGACUCCUACGGGAGGCAGCAGUGGGGAAUAUUGGACAAUGGGCGCAAGCCUGAUCCAGCCAUACCGCGUGGGUGAAGAAGGCCUUCGGGUUGUAAAGCCCUUUUGUUGGGAAAGAAAAGCAGCAGGUUAAUACCCCGCUGUUCUGACGGUACCCAAAGAAUAAGCACCGGCUAACUUCGUG
rnacentral:rRNA from 1 species